rnacentral:rRNA from 1 species
AUGACGCAGAAGCAGACCAUGUUCAAGGGGCAGACCAAGAAGAAGUAUAUCCCUCCCAGCCGCCAUGGCAAGGCGCCCCACAUCCGCAAAGGGAAGAGGGCCGUGAAGCCGACCAAGUGCACCAAGGACAUGGACGCCGACAAGGACCUCACAAAGUUCAUCAACCACGCGAACGAAAUAAAAGCUGCAAAUAAGGCUAGUAAAGAAGGUGGCGACCUCAGCAUAGUUAAGUCCGACGUGGAUACUUCCAACUCAAAGCAGUAG